AUUGAACGCUGGCGGCAUGCCUUACACAUGCAAGUCGAACGGUAGCAGGUCUUCGGAUGCUGACGAGUGGCGAACGGGUGAGUAAUACAUCGGAACGUGCCCGAUCGUGGGGGAUAACGCAGCGAAAGCUGUGCUAAUACCGCAUACGAUCUACGGAUGAAAGCGGGGGAUCUUCGGACCUCGCGCGGACGGAGCGGCCGAUGGCAGAUUAGGUAGUUGGUGGGGUAAAGGCUCACCAAGCCUGCGAUCUGUAGCUGGUCUGAGAGGACGACCAGCCACACUGGGACUGAGACACGGCCCAGACUCCUACGGGAGGCAGCAGUGGGGAAUUUUGGACAAUGGGCGCAAGCCUGAUCCAGCCAUGCCGCGUGCAGGAUGAAGGCCUUCGGGUUGUAAACUGCUUUUGUACGGAACGAAAAGUCUCUUUUUAAUAAAGAGGGAUCAUGACGGUACCGUAAGAAUAAGCACCGGCUAACUACGUGCCAGCCGCCGCCGUAA
rnacentral:rRNA from 1 species